rnacentral:rRNA from 1 species
GAUGAACGCUGGCGGCGUGCCUAAUACAUGCAAGUCGAGCGAAUGGAUUAAGAGCUUGCUCUUAUGAAGUUAGCGGCGGACGGGUGAGUAACACGUGGGUAACCUGCCCAUAAGACUGGGAUAACUCCGGGAAACCGGGGCUAAUACCGGAUAACAUUUUGAACCGCAUGGUUCGAAAUUGAAAAGCGGCUUCGGCUGUCACUUAUGGAUGGACCCGCGUCGCAUUAGCUAGUUGGUGAGGUAACGGCUCACCAAGGCAACGAUGCGUAGCCGACCUGAGAGGGUGAUCGGCCACACUGGGACUGAGGCACGGCCCAGACUCCUACGGGAGGCAGCAGUAGGGAAUCUUCCGCAAUGGACGAAAGUCUGACGGAGCAACGCCGCGUGAGUGACGAAGGCUUUCGGGUCGUAAAACUCUGUUGUUAGGGAAGAACAAGUGCUAGUUGAAUAAGCUGGCACCUUGACGGUACCUAACCAGAAAGCCACGGCUAACUACGUGCCAGCCGCCGCGGUAA